GUGAAACGUCGCGAGCGAAAGACAGCAGACAAAAGGCAAAUGCCACAUAUUUGUGGUGAACCAAUUCAACUUCACGUUGCCUAGACAAGUCCCUUUGUGUUUGAGACGAUUGGUUUUACAAGGCACAAUUGUUUUAAUGUCUUGACUUUCAUCAAUGAAUGCUGAUAUUGACCAUUCGCGUUCGUCGCGAAGACCAAGGCCUGAAGUUGCUGUUUACCGUCCUGGAUCAGGACCUCUGAAAAAGUCAAGCAGCAAUGUUGAAAACAUACAGCCAGGCAGCAGCCUGCAAGGCACUGGAAGAGCAGACAUUGACACUGGUCUUGAAUCAAAUUUUAGGAAUGUCAAUUUAAACGAUGAGAGCAACAAAUCUAAAGAUCGGGGUGGUGAGGUUCACACUCAAGAAUCCAAAACGAGAAGGACCAACAACCAGAGACAAGAUAGAAAUUCUGAUAAGCCACGAACAGAAAAUCACCACCAACAGCACACCAAAAAAAAGAAAGAAGAAUUCAAGGAACCCCCUGUCCCGAGUAAUCAAGGGAAGAGGCAGCUGUACUACCAAGACAAUGUGGAUGCAGGAUCAAAUCAAGACCUUCGACAGCUUCUUCUAGAGAAACAGCAGCAGAGAAGCAAUGAAUCCCCAGCAACUGGUCACCACGAAAGCAGUCCAACUCCAAAUCAGCCUUCAAAUGGCAAACAGAAGAAUGACAACCGUCAAGAAAGACAGCCAGUCAAGCCAAAAGAAGAAGCGAGGGCAAGCCAGCCUAGCGACCCUUUCCCACCGAAUAACGUUUCAAAAUCUGCAUCCAUUGAUUCGUCCCUGCUCUCAAGGCAGAGUGAUAAAAGAAGUUCAGGCAGACGCCGAAACGAUCGCAAACCUCGAGUGGAGAAUUCGUUUUCCGAUGGACACCUUGCUUCUUUAACUAACAACAAUUCUUCAGCAGCAGCUACGAAACCGCCCUCAUCCAAAACUUUUGAAGAGAAGACGGCUACAAGUGGUAGUUGGAACGAUUCAGAGAGAAGCAAGAACAAUAGUAAAGACAAACGAGACGGAAGUGGACGCAGUGGCAGUGGUAGGAAGAAACGAAACAAUCGCGGUCCUGGAGGCAGUCGACGAGGAUCUUUUUCUAGUGAAGCUGGAACCCCGGUUCCCGAUCGUGAUGUCAGAGGCACAAGUAGCACUUCCAGACCAGACGAUUACAACUAUUACCAGUCGACUACGCCAACUCGGUUCGUUCUUCUGGUGGACGAAGAUAAACUUACGAAGAGAGCUGGAGGAAGUGGUGGAUACUACCAGGCCACUGGUUCCAGUCGAAGCCGCCACACAUCCAGCCCUCAAAGCAGCAACAGCAGGAACGGGAUGAUUGCAGAGGAGAAUCCCGUUGCCAACGCAGUGUCUCCAACGAGCACUUCACGUCGCCCGCCAUCGAUCACCUCGCCAUCGCCAUCACCGUCACCUGGUUAUCGUCAGAGUUCAGAACCGCCCGGCAACCCUAAAUUCCAAGGCCAAGCGCAGAAGAAUUCUGGGCGAGACCAGAGAAGGGAAGGACUCUUUGAUGAGAGAUCUCAGGACUCUUACCGGUCCGACGGAAGACCCCCAUCCGGCCGUGGUGGAUACUCUAAGAACGAACGCCCUUCGCUGCCCAACAAAUACGAUUCGCUUCCACCUCGUUUCAAGAAGAAAUACGAAGAGGAUCGCCUGCAUCAAUCGCAACCUGACCGGGUUCCUCAAACGGCCGUCCAUCCGAGUCCAGUCGAAACCGAAUGGGAUGGCGGUUCUUGUACUUUUGUCAACAUUUCCGGAGCCCCGGCAGUUCGACCAUCGUUGCCUCAUCCUUUCCCGCAAUCAUUGCCUCAUGUCCCCAGCAUCCGGCCGCACCAUCCACCCCAACAACAUCAUCGACCAGGGUCUGGUGGAGGUGGCAAAGCGAUCCGAGGCCAAGGGCGGUAUCAGCAAGCCACAGGAUUCGCUGCCAAAACAAUGCCAUUGUCUGAUCAGGCGGAAGAUUCCGAUCCUGUUCAUGUUCCUGUACGACCUCGCAGUCAAGAUUCCAUGUCGUUCUCCGAUCGGGAACGCAAAACAUCGGUGACGGACUCUAGGAGCUCGACGCCUUUGUCCAACGUCGACAGCAGUUCCGGCUUGCAGUCCCACCUGCGUGGCACUCUUCGACGACUGGAGGAAGUGACGGCCACUCAGACGUCGCUGGAUUGGAGCGAAGAAAUGGAAGAAGAAGACAAGAGAAGCCUAGCUGGAUACCGACAAGCUCCACCGGCCAGACUUCCGGAAAAAGUUCCGGAGAUCGUCUUUGCCUGUACGGAUAUUCGUUACAAGAAUAAACCCAUUCAAGGAUACAUCGUCCUCCCAUCGGCAGCUUCUUCCACCAACGGAGUGGAUGUCGACCGACAGACUGGACCUACCCCUCCACCGAUGACUGGGCGACCUCUCCUGGGCCAGGGUCGUAGGCAGGAAGCGGGUAAGAGCGGACCACCGCGAAUGUCCGUUCCAGGGUUGAUCCAGCUGCCAAUAGGUCCUCCACCGUCGAUGGAACAAUCGCGCCUUUCCUCUUCGCCCAGGCGAAGUGAUUUCACGGCUCCUUCGGCCUCCUCGUACGACAGAUCGUCCAUUCCUCGUCAGCAGGAUCAUAACCGUGGUGGUGGUGACGUGGCCAAUCGUUCCUAUCCUCGCAAAACUGGCCCAGUGCAGCAGCGCACCCUGUUUGAUCCUGCCAAUCCGCACAAGCCGAUUGUGGUGGCCACCAGAGCCGAUGACGGACCGAAUAGCCAACAAUCGACGGCCGCAUCGUCGCUAGGUUGCCCGGAAAUGACUUUCCUGACUCUUCCGGCUGAUCAAAGCAACGUCAAUUCUUCUGCAAGGCCAGCGUGGUACGACCCACAGUCUGAAAAUUUCCGGAGCAGCAAAAGUCAUCCGCACCUCCUUAUGGACAUGGCCCGUUGCGACAUGGAGUUGUCGUGGUUGCUUCACGGUCAAGGUCUCCACCAGCGGUUCGGCCGCAUCCAGAUGAACAGGAAAUUCUUCCAGAACAGCUUGCGGAUCAUGUUGGCCAAUGAUUUGCGCUUCUGCGCUAUGGAGAACGUUGAGCAGCACAUGUGGAAGGUGGCAUUCCACAAUGUCAUUGAAGCAUUGCGCAAGGCCACGGCCGAAGAACCCGAAGCCAAAGAGGAAUACAGGUCGCUCCUGUUCAACGUCAUUGACGAGGGAACCGCCUAUUUCGAGAUGCUGUUGGAGACGCUGCAAGAGUCGCACAAAUUCAACCUGGAAACGUACCUCGAGCCGCAGCCUUACCCUUUGCUCUCGGGACUGGGCUACGUUGGCCUGGCCAUCAUCUCGUGUCAAAAGAUCCUCAUCUUCCUCGGCGAUUUAGCCCGUUAUCGUGAAAUGACGUCCGAAACUUCCAACUACGGCAAAGCCAAAAGUUGGUACACUAAAGCUAAUUUGACUAACCCGAAAAACGGCCGACCGUACAAUCAACUGGCCAUUUUGGCACUCUACGCGAGACGCAAGCUGGAUGCUGUUUACCUUUACAUGCGCAGUUUAAUGGCCUCCAAUCCUUUCCAAUCGGCCAGGGAGAGCCUCGUCUCCCUAUUCGACGAGAAUCGUAAAAAGUACGAACAACAGGAGCGUAAACGGCGUGAAGCCAAGGAGGCCAGCAGCAACCGCCGCAAAGAGUCUGCAGCUUCUUCUUCUUUAUCGUCGGGCGUUGUUUCCGACGCUGCCAAAAUCGACCGUCUGGAAUUGAGACGAGAAAUUUGGAUCCAUCCGCUGGAUGGGCGCCGUACCCGCCGGACCACCAGCACCGGCACCAACGGUGCUUCCGACUCUAAUGGCCUCAACAGCGACGACGAAGAGCUGGCCCAGCUGCCCAGCAUCGAGGUCAACAAGAGAUUCGUCACCAGUUACCUGAACGUCCAGGGCAAAUUGUACACAAAGAUCGGGAUGGAAACGUUUCAAGAGUGCGGAGUCCAAAUGCUGCGCGAAUUCCGGGCCCUCCUCCAGCAGACGCCGUUGCCCGUCAACCAAACCCGUUUGCUGCAAUUAUUGGCGCUCAACAUGUUCGCCGUAUCCAACACUCAACUCAAAGAUGCCCGGAUGGCUGGCGGGUGUCGUUCGGCCUGGCAGGAAUGCGCCCUGGUCGUUUCCCUGGAAAUGUUCAACAUCCUGCUGGAACGUUGCAACGCAAUGCUCAAGGAGCAGCUGGAAACGGGGAGCCACAGUAACAACAACCCCGGAGGAACGACAAGCCUGGCCAGUAGUCGACUGCUGGGCGAGGACCUACAAAUCAUCUUGCCGGCCAUUAAGGUGUGGUGCGAUUGGCUUCUGUGCCACAGUUCCGUCUGGAAUCCACCGCCCACCUCCCGUGACUACCACGUCGGACCGCCUGGAACACCCUGGACACGUUUGGCCACGUUGAUUAACCUUUUGAGUCGCUUCGACACGCGUCAAGUCGAAAUUAGCAACAAGCAACUGGAUGGUUACGAAGCUGUCAAACUGCCCGAAGAUGUCACUCUUUGCGGUUUCACGCCGCUGAUGCUCAACAUCCAAGAGCCGCGCUACACGCCGAAAUCAUCCGACACGGAUGGAAGGGAUCGUCGCCAGCAAAUGGAUAUGGCAGCCGAUUGCGUGCGGAUUGAACGGAUGCUCUACUUCGGACGCGACUUUCUCUGCGGCCUCGACCCGCCCGUCCUCAAGCUCAAGUUCUCGGGCCCGUCGCUGUCCGAAUACGUUUCCGUCGUCGACUCUUCUUCGUCCGCUUCAUGUUCCACCUCCGCCAAAAACGGACCACCUCAUCUACUCAAGAAUGAUGCGGCCGAGGACGAAGAUGAUUACGAGGAAGGUCUGGUCGGCGAACUGGAACUGGAGGAGGAAGUGAUGGGCGACGAGGAGCGGGCAGAAGACGACGACGAUGUUGUCGUGGAGCAGGGCGGCGGUGGCCAUCACGAGCUCCAGCCGACCGAUGAUCUGCAACAAUUGAGGCAGCGCAAGGACGAAUUGACUCAGAAACACCUGGACCAGCAACGUCGAAAGCAACAGCUCAAGGCGAUCCUACGCGAGCGAGUCCAAGUGGAAUUGGAGGUGAGACCAAAGUACCUGGUGGCCGACACCAACUGCUACAUUGAUCACCUCAACGCCCUGGUCCGUCUGGCUCGCGAAAAACAUUACACGAUCGUCGCCCCACUUGUCGUGUUGAAUGAACUGGACGGGUUGUGCCGGUCGAGGUUGGCCGUCGAAUCGCGGGCGGCGUUGGAUUUCCUGCGCGAGAGGAACCCGCAGAUCCGCUACGUCACCUCCAAAGGUGCGCCGCUGCCCAACUUUGCCGCCUGCACCAUGAGCGAAGAGAACGACGACCAGGGUCUGACCAAUGAUGACCGCAUCCUCCAGUGUUGUCUAGGUCUCUUCAAGGACAGACUGGCCUCAUCCACCGCAGAGGAAGACACUUGCUCAGACGGAGUGAGGCGAUUGCGGCGCGAAGUCGUUCUACUCACGGACGACCGCAAUUUACGAGUCAAAGCGCUUUCGCGCGACGUGCCCGUCCGUGACCUGCCGGCCUUUCUCGCUUGGUCUUCAUCAGCUGCCGCUGCUUCUUCUUCUUCUUCGUCGGUCAACUGAGAAAUAAGACAGAAAAAGAAGUCGAGUGAGAGAAACUACAAUACUACCUUUUAUUACACCCACCUCCAUUACAGUACUACCUUUUUUUUCUUUUCUCCCGAUUUCUUCUAAUUAUAAUUCAACAAACUCUUUUUUUUUCAUUUUCAAAAUUAUCGAAUUCAAAAAAUGGCAGAUUUCGUGUUUGUGUAUGUCUUGUAAUUUGCUGAUUGAUUGAUCGAAAUUUCAAUUCUUUUUUGGUUUAAAUUUUUUUUUUCUCCCGUGUAAUACGUUGUACUUGUGUGUGUGUGUGUGUUGGAGCAAAUGGUGGGGGGGAGAGAAUUAUUACCGGCGACCUUGUGGGGAUCCUCUUGAAUCAUUUUCUCUUUAACUCGUCAUCCGCCACCCACACUUUGUUGGUUUAUUAUAUUCCCUCCUUUCAGAAAAAAAAAACAAAAGUUCUUUAAAAGUGACAAAUCUUUGAUGAUGACUGAUACAAUUUAUUGAAGGGGUGGACCACCCAACCACUCGCAGAUCAUCUAAAAAAAAACUUCCCUCAGACCUCCUCCAGAUUGACGAAAACAAUUUAGUUGACAUUUUGGUGUUCACAUUUCAAUGUUGGAUGGCCCACGCUGCCUCUACCAGUCUUCUUCAAACUUAACUUUACGAAACACAUGUUGCUUUGAAACUCCCUUCCAUUUUGUAUUUCUUUUUCCCAAUUCCAACCAUUACUUUCCUCUUUUCCUUAUCUUCUAAAAGCCAGAUGAUAAUUUCCUUUUUCUUUUUUAAAAUUUCAUUUUCAUGUUGUGUCUCCUUUUGGUCUCAAAAAAACAAAACAAAAAAUGUUGUGGACCCUCGAUUUUUUUUUUUUCCUUUUACAUCUGACACACGGUCUGCCCAAAUACACACAAACCAGAAACCACACAGCUUGAUGAUUUCUAAUGAAAUUAAUCAUAUUCGUAUCUAAAUCCGGCCGUCGAUGAAAUUAAAAAAGAAAACACUGUAUUCAUUUGAACAAGAAAGAAAAAGAGAGCUGCCUUGAUUACACACAGUUGAAAGAGAGAGGGGAAAUGUCUUGAGGUAUAAAACAACUGUUAAAAUACUGUUUCGAGCUGUGCUCAGGAAUGUGUUGGCUGAUUGAGGAAACUCACGAGGCCGAUAGCGAAAAUUGGAAAACCACACACGCAGGUGAACCACUAAUGGGUCGCCUACAGACGACGGGAUUUUUCAAACCGUUUGGUUGUUUUCUUUUUCAAGAGUCCACACUGUUGCCGAUCCGUUAAUGGUCGUAUAAAACCUAAGAAAAAUCAUUAACCGAUUAUUUCAGAGCCCUUCUUUUUCCCCUCCAACUUGAAAAAUUUUUAUUUUCAAUUUAUGUUAUUUCCUGCCGGGAGAAUCGAUCGAAAUCGAAAUUAUUUUGGAAAUUAAAGAUGGAGGCGAAGGAAAGAGGAGGGGUGGGGGGAAUUAACCCGCCAAACACUUUAGUCUGCAGCCGGUGACCCCCCAUCACUUUCUACCCGAUUCUCAGUGCCUAUGGUGUGGAACAAAAAUAAGGGAGAGACCUGUCAUAAGAGCACGUUGUUUGUGUGUGUGCGUACCGUACCGCCAUGGCAUAUCUCGUCGAAGGAAGAUGGCUGCCGGAAUUCUUUCAAAAAUUUUUUCCCUACACACACACACUCUGAAAAAUGACGUCGCUGCUCCAGUGUCUUGUACAGGAGCCCGACUUGGCAAUAUUAGACGUGACGGGCUGUGACCGGUGACCGUGUCGGCGCGGAUGUUUGAUGGGAUGAUUUUGAUGAUGAUGGCGCCUCCGAAAAUAAAAGAAAGAAGAAGAAAACCAGCGUUUCCUUCGGUUCCUCUAUCCACUUUUGGGCCUCUCACGAAAAGAAGGAAGAAGAAGAAGAAAAUAAAAAGAAGAAACAGUUUGCUGGCCUUUUCCGCUACUUGAAUCCAUCGCUUGGAGGUGUACGUGUGUGUGUGUGCUUUAAGUCGUUUUUAUCCGGCUAUGCUUUUAUUUCAUUUUAUUUUAUUUUAAGGGAAAUGAUUAAAAUAAGAAAAUUUUAGAUACACCCUUAAUCGGUUCCAUCGCAUUUUAAAUAAUCUGGAAUUUUUAUGUUAGAUUUGAAUUUGAAUUUCUUUUCUAUGAAAUUUGUUGGUUAUUUCUUUUAAUUUUAGGAUAUGACCUCUCUUGUUGCUGCUGCUGCUGCUGCUGCCAGGGGGUUGUCCCGGCGCCGCCUGGGCGGAGACUCGGUCCGUCCCCCUCUUUCCUUCAACUCUUCUUCUUCAUGGUUGGGGUGGGUGGGUGAGCGCUGGUGGGUGGUAAGAGUAGCACGGCCACUAACUUACCAAGUACUUUGAUCAUAAAAAUCGAUUUAGUUUUUUUUUUUUUUAAAUUUAUUUAUUCAUUUCGAAUUAAAAAGAAAAGAAAAUUAUCUAAAAAUUUCAAUUCCGUCAAUUCAGGUUUUUCACCAUUUUUCUAUUAUCUAUUUUACCUGAUUUAUAUUUUAUUGAUUUAUAAUUUUUUUUUUCUUUGAAAAUUGCGUUUGUCAAAUUCUACUGGAAUUGUUAUCAUCACAUGUUUGACUUGUCUUGUGCCACGCGCGCUCUUCAAGUUCUUUAGUGGAGAGGGGGGUAGGGAGGGAUAUUAUCAUCAUCUUCUUCUUCUUUCUUUCUUUCCUUGACUACUCCGACAUUGGCUCCCGCCUCCCAACCCGACUGUGCACCACCCACCCACCGCCGCCGCCACAUUUUAUUUUAUUUUUUUUUAUUUUUUUUUCGUCUUAUUUUUUCUUAUAAUUUUUUCACCACCACCACAACCCGCCAGGAGACCUCAGCAAGUCCCUCCCACCCCACCCCACCGGGCCCCCCUCCGCAUAGCCCCCGCUCGGCUAUUUAACGCAGAUCUCCGGCUGCCGACCAGCGUGAAUUCUCCAUCAACAUCGGCCGGAACCAGUCGAAUACAUUUCCUCCCUCCGAAAAACAAAAUUUCUAAACGAACGAACUCGAACUCUGAAAAUCAUCGGACGGUUUUAUUUUCCAAAGUUGAAAUUUUAUCAAAAUUUUUUAGAAAAAUUUCGUGUGAGAGAAACAAAUUUGAAUUUGAAAAUCGUCCCGUUGUCCGGAAACAACCCCCCAACUAAAGUGCGGAUCAACGACCCAAAUCAACUUUAAAAAACGAAGGAGAGAACCACACAAGCAAAAGUUGAAUUAACACACACACAAACAAACAAACAAG
rnacentral:misc_RNA from 1 species